UACAGAGGGUGCUAGCGUUGUUCGGAAUCAUUGGGCGUAAAGGGCGUGUAGGCGGUUUGCUAAGUCAUGUGUGAAAUCCCUCGGCUCAACCGGGGAACGACGCAUGAAACUGGCAAGCUAGAGUACCAAAGAGGGGGGUGGAAUUCCCGGUGUAGCGGUGAAAUGCGUAGAUAUCUGGAGGAACACCGGUGGCGAAGGCGGCGUUCUGGACUGCAACUGACACUGAGGAACGAAAGCCAGGGUAGCAAACGGG
rnacentral:rRNA from 1 species